AUUGAACGCUGGCGGCAUGCCUUACCCAUGCAAGUCGAACGGCAGCACGGGAGCAAUCCUGGUUGCGAGUGGCGAACGGGUGAGUAAAGCAUCGGAACGUGCCCAGUCGUGGGGGAUAACGUAGCGAAAGCUACGCUAAUACCGCAUACGAUCUGUGGCUGAAAGCGGGGGACCGUAAGGCCUAGCGCGAUUGGCGCGUCCGAUGUCAGAUUAGGUAGUUGGUGAGGUAAAGGCUCACCAAGCCGACGAUCUGUAGCUGGUCUGAGAAGACGACCAGUCACACUGGGAAUGAGACACGGCCCAGACUCCUACGGGAGGCAGCAGUGGGGAAUUUUGGACAAUGGGCGCAAGCCUGAUCCAGCAAUGCCGCGUGCAGGAUGAAGGCCUUCGGGUUGUAAACUGCUUUUGUACGGAGCGAAACGGCUUCCACUAAUACUGGGGGCUAAUGACGGUACCGUAAGAAUAAGCACCGGCUAACUACGUGCCAGCCGCCGCCGUAAAAC
rnacentral:rRNA from 1 species